rnacentral:tRNA from 1 species
GGUGGGUUGGCUCCGUGGUUAGAGCUUAGGUCUUGUAACCGAAAGGUUGCAGGAUUGAAUCCUGCUAGAGGCUG